rnacentral:snRNA from 1 species
AGCUUUUCUUUGCCUUUUGGCUUAGAUCAAGUGUAGUAUCUGUUCUAUCAAUCUUAAUCGAUUGAUCGCAACUACGGUUGCAUCAAAGAUUAUGAUUCUUUUUGGAAUCAGUCCUCCUCUCCCUGGGCUUGCUCAUAGUUGAGGACACAGUGACUCCGGCCCUACACUACAGCUGGACGUCGCGACUGGGA